rnacentral:rRNA from 1 species
GUUAGGAAUCUUGCGCAAUGGGGGAAACCCUGACGCAGCCAUGCCGCGUGAAUGAUGAAGGUCUUAGGAUUGUAAAAUUCUUUCAGCGGGGACGAUAAUGACGGUACCCGCAGAAGAAGCCCCGGCUAACUUCGUGCCAGCAGCCGCGGUAAUACGAAGGGGGCUAGCGUUGCUCGGAAUUACUGGGCGUAAAGGGCGCGUAGGCGGAUGUCUUAGUCAGCGGUGAAAGCCCAGGGCUCAACCUUGGAACUGCCAUUGAUACUGGACAUCUUGAGUACGGGAGAGGUGAGUGGAACUCCGAGUGUAGAGGUGAAAUUCGUAGAUAUUCGGAAGAACACCAGUGGCGAAGGCGACUCACUGGCCCGUUACUGACGCUGAGGCGCGAAAGCGUGGGGAGCAAACAGGAUUAGAAACCCGAGUAGUCC